rnacentral:misc_RNA from 1 species
AAGUCGUAACAAGGUUUCCGUAGGUGAACCUGCGGAAGGAUCACUAGUGAUUAAAUCGAGAGCGUCUUCAUUGACCUCUCACCCUUCACAUCCACAUACACCUGUGCACCGUUUGGCUCUUAUAAAAGACGAAAGUCUGCAAUGAGAGUCAUCAAUUUUAUACAUACCCCAGUCUUAUGAAUGUAACAGUUUUAAUAAACAUAAUAAAACUUUUAACAACGGAUCUCUUGGUUCUC